AGAGUUUGAUCCUGGCUCAGAACGAACGCUGGCGGCGUGCCUAACACAUGCAAGUCGUGCGAGAAAGUUCCCUUCGGGGAGCGAGUAAAGCGGCGCACGGGUGAGUAACACGUAGGUAACCUACCCUGUAAUCGGGAAUAACCCGGGGAAACCCGGGCUAAUGCCGGAUGAGACCACGGCUGCUUCGGCAGCCGAGGCCAAAGGCGGCCUCUACACGUAAGCUGUCGCUACAGGACGGGCCUGCGGCCCAUUAGCUAGUUGGUAGGGUAAUGGCCUACCAAGGCUUUGAUGGGUAGCUGGUCUGAGAGGAUGAUCAGCCACACUGGGACUGAGACACGGCCCAGACUCCUACGGGAGGCAGCAGUGGGGAAUAUUGCGCAAUGGGGGAAACCCUGACGCAGCGACGCCGCGUGGGUGAUGAAGGCCUUCGGGUCGUAAAGCCCUGUCGUAGGGGAAGAACCGGUGGGCGGCUAAUACCCG
rnacentral:rRNA from 1 species